rfam:Dipodomys ordii contig_71844, whole genome shotgun sequence.
GGGAGGUUGGCUCAGUGAUAGAGUGCUUGCCUUUAAUGCAUGAGGCCCUGGGUUCGAUUCCUUGACACCACA